rnacentral:rRNA from 1 species
UACGUAGGGUGCAAGCGUUGUCCGGAAUUAUUGGGCGUAAAGAGCUCGUAGGCGGUUUGUUGCGUCGGCUGUGAAAUCCCGAGGCUCAACCUCGGGUCUGCAGUCGAUACGAGCAAACUAGAGUGUUGCAGGGGAGACUGGAAUUCCUGGUGUAGCGGUGAAAUGCGCAGAUAUCAGGAGGAACACCGGUGGCGAAGGCGACUUCCUGGCCUGUUCUUGACGCUGAGGCGCGAAAGCUAGGGUAGCAAACGGG